GGACUACCGGGGUAUCUAAUCCUGUUUGCUCCCCACGCUUUCGUGCACUCAGCGUCAAUCUCAGCCCAGGGGGCUGCCUUCGCCAUCGGUGUUCCUCCACAUCUCUACGCAUUUCACUGCUACACGUGGAAUUCCACCCCCCUCUGCCAGAUUCAAGUCCCCUAGUUUCCACUGCCAUUCCCAGGUUAAGCCCGGGGAUUUCACAACGGACUUGGAGAACCGCCUACGCACGCUUUACGCCCAGUAAUUCCGAUUAACGCUCGCACCCUACGUAUUACCGCGGCUGCUGGCAC
rnacentral:rRNA from 1 species